AUCGUGUAGGCAUAGACUCUACUUCCCAUACACGUAUUAAUGCAUAUACUUUAAUCCUAGAAAAGGAUUUUCGAAUCGGUGAAAGAGAAAAAAUUAUUUGUUAUACAAAAAUUACAUGAUUUAAUCGGUAAAACAGGAGGCUUUAAGUUCCCCUUAAGACGGUCUUGAAUAUAAGAUCUGACUGUGAAUACCAGCCUACAUACAUUUUCUGACACUAUCGAUAAAAUUGUAUCGUUGAAAAACGGUGUAAUACAGGAUUGAACAAAUGCCAGAGAUGUCACAAAGCAAAGUGUAAAAUUUAAAUAUCUGAAUGGCGAACAGCGAGAAGUGGGGGUGCGCGAUGAACAGCAAGGGGAGCGUGCUACGCGGCGCGGUGGUUGACUUGUAUGUCAUUACUUCGGCAAUGGCUUUGGACGAAUGACAACGGGGAGAAUCAUGGGGAACACGCUACAGUUGAUUGGAAUCGGUACGUCGGUCCGGUUGGUCGGCGGAUAAGCCGGAUUCUAGUUAAUAUAAUAAAUCCUAAAUGUAUAAUAACACAGGCUGACAUGAAUUUUGAUCUAGAAAUGGACCCAUUAAACUAUUCCUCCUAUGGAUAGUCAGCAAGCUUCUAUCCUGAGGAUUUAGUAUAAAGACGAACCAC